rnacentral:rRNA from 1 species
AGCAGCCGCGGUAAUUCCAGCUCCUUUAGAGUAUAUUAAAGUUGUUGCAGUUAAAAAGCUCGUAGUUGAAUUUCAGGGGUCAGUAGGUCGGUCGUGCCACUGGUAUGAACUGGUUUUACUGAUUCCUCCCUCUUGAAGAACUGUAAUGCCAUUAAUUUGGUGUUGCAGGGAAUCAGGACUGUUACUUUGAAAAAAUUAGAGUGUUUAAAGCAGGCUCGCGCUUGAAUACAUUAGCAUGGAAUAAUGAAAUAGGACGUUUGAUCCCAUUUNGUNGGUUUCUAGGAUUGACGUAAUGAUUAAUAGGGAUAGUUGGGGGCAUUAGUAUUCUAUUGUCAGAGGUGAAAUUCUUGGAUUUAUUGAAGACUAACUACUGCSWAAGCAUUUGCCWAGGAUGUUUUCAUUAAUCAAGAUCGAAAGUUAGGGGAUCGAAGACNAUCAGAUACCGUCGUAGUCUUAACCAUAAACUAUGCCCGACCUAGGCGAUCGGCAUGAUUGUUAAUUUUUUNANUGANCUCA